GGAAGGAUGGUCCAGUGGCUAAGGCACUAAGCUGGGACUUUGGAGACCUGGGUUCAGUUCCUUGCUCUGCCA
rfam:Chelonia mydas contig61323, whole genome shotgun sequence.